rnacentral:lncRNA from 1 species
UCUAUGUUACCUACAUCACCCAUAGGUUGCCGGAAGCCAUUGCCAUCAUUCACAUCCCCAAUCCGCAGGCUAGAAUUCAACGGUGAUGACUCAUUUUCUUUUCUUCUAUACCUUUCGGGGUUGCCAGAUGCAGAAUGUUGAAAGUGUUCUGGUUCUGCCUCUUUCCUUGCUAAUGCUGCCUUAAGGCUAGCAAUCUAGGAAGGGGGAAAGGAAUCAAAUGUUUAAUACAGUGUACCCUGAAGUUAAAGUAUGAUUAAGACAGCUAUGAUGGAAAAUGUAAAGGAGACAAAGGAAAUGACUAACUUCUUCUUUGAGCUCUUUGAUAUCUGCUGCACUAUCUUUGUUCACUCGAGCUGCUCCUAGUUCAACAGUGGCUACACGUUGUGCAAAAUUAAGUGUACUUAUUGUUUCUCCAAUUGCUUCAGGCUCCGGGCUUAUGUGGACAAACAUUAAUGUCUUUGCCUGUCCUCCUGAAACAAGAAUCACAAAUCACAAUCAUAAUCAUUUUUAUUGGAAAAAAAGGGGAAAACAAAACAAAUACUGAAAUUUGAACAAUGUGUUACUUUGACCUUACCAAGUGAGUCUUGGAGCAGUUGUGUAACUAAAAAUUCCUACUUUCUAUUUGCAGUUCUGCGUUUCAUAUCAACAGGGGCUGGCUGCCUUCCAUUCCGGUGCAAAGGAGCAUUAACUCCAUUUUUUCGUGAUGGCGAAGGGCCUAGCAUAGGAUUCAAGUUCUUGCUGCAAAACAAAUGUUAACAACUCUGUUAAACAUUAGAAUUUAACAUGUAAGUGUAGACCAAAACAAAGAGCACAUCUGAAGUACCUCAAAUCUGGACUUUUAGUUGCUUUUGAAUUUGGCUUCUUUGUCUUUGACUCAAUUCCAUUGGCUAUGCCAGAAAAUUUGGACUGAUUGAAUUGCCACAGCAAAUCAGGUUCUGAUGAAUCACUAGUGCCGGCAUCAAGAUCAUCCAUAUCAUCAGUACUACUAAUGUUGAACCGGUUGUUACCCCCAUAAAUAUUGUAGGAUUGUUCAGAGUAAAUUUUUGUAGGAUCUGAAAGAUACUUCUGGUAAAAGACAUCAGGCAAAUUACCAUUGUCUGCUUCCCAACUUCCUAAUGGAUUCUCAACUCUGUUUAUAGCAUCUUGCUUGUUCACCAUGACUUUAUCGACCCAUUCACCUGAUCCCACUUCCUUCUCAUCUUCCCUAUAAUUUUUGCUAGGACUAACAACUGGAGGCCAUGGAGGUGAAUUUGCUAACAGCUCAUCGAGAUCAAAACUUUGCCUUUUUUGCCUCAAUGUAGCGUUUGUAUGAACCUGUAUAUGCAGCACAUCAGUGUUUAAAAAAACCUAAGUACUUACUGACUAGGAAGGUUUUUCCCCAUCCAUGCCAACUCUCAACAAUCUUUUUCUCAUAAUAUAGUUUUAUUAUCUAUACAUAGCAUUAUCUAUAAUGUGAAGUACAAAAUGCUAAUAUUUUGCUCAAUUCACACCCAUGAUGCCUAGACAUCUACAAUGUGAAAUACAAAAGUACCAUAAUAUGAAGUAACCCUCAAAUAUUUCGAUACGAUUGAUAGAUAUGCAAAAUGAAAUGAGGUGAAGUCUGCCUCAACCAGAUUGAAGAUGGUCAUAAUUUCAGUUAGCUACUUUGAAUGCGAUGUUUUUCUACAAUAGUGUAACUUUCAUAUUGCAAAAAUACAUGAUUAUGUACUUAUAAUUAUACAAGUGUCAAUCAGCAAUCUUUAAGAAAAAUUAUGACUAAUGAUGAUAGGAUAGCAAGAUUCACCUCUAUGUUACCUACAUCACCCAUAGGUUGCCGGAAGCCAUUGCCAUCAUUCACAUCCCCAAUCCGCAGGCUAGAAUUCAACGGUGAUGACUCAUUUUCUUUUCUUCUAUACCUUUCGGGGUUGCCAGAUGCAGAAUGUUGAAAGUGUUCUGGUUCUGCCUCUUUCCUU